UUCACUCCCCUGCUCCCAUGGGAAUCCUCAGGUAAACAGACAUGUCUUGUCUGCAGUGGUGCUCCGAUGUACAGAGGCUGGGAACAGAGGAAGGACAAACCUCCUGACUUUAUUUUUGCUGGGGGUGUAAAAUGAGCCAAGGCUUUCUGCAGUCGCUAUUCUAUACAUAUCUUUUGGGUCUGAUGCUAUUUUUGUUGGCUGUGACCCUGGAGGUGUAGGUGUGGAAGUGCCUUUCUGCUGCUCUCUGCAUGCGGGUGUAGAUGUUUCCUCUGUUCCAGGCGCCUCCUCAGACUCUGUGGCCUUUCAGGGGGAGUAGGCGGAUGUCAGCGUGGCCUUUCCCCACCUGUCUGUAACUUUUUAAUACUUCUUUUUAUUUUGGCCUUGCGCUUCUUCCAUGGAACGUCUCUGGGUAGCCACUGGGAGGUGUAAAUGGCUUGAGAUGGAAACCACAGCUUGUAGGUGCGCCCUCUGCCAGGCUUUUCUGGCACCCGAGGAAGUCAGGUCUCUGCCUGCUCCCAAGCAAAAGGGAUAUUACCAGCUGCUCGGUGAGAAAACAAAUUCACAGAGAUACAGGAAAGUGUGUUAAGGUGGUGGGAAGCAACGGGAGUGAGAUUCCUGGCAGCUCGGGUAUGUAAAUAUUCAUAAAAUAGAGAGUGUGUGCAUGUGUGUACUUUGUGGUGGCAGGAAACCCAAGAAGCUAGCUCCAUUAUUUUUGCUGGAACUGCUAGCAGCUGUACCAGACAAAUAUUAUAAGCUCUUAAUCCUCCUGACUUUACACCUGUGAAUGACCUAAAGACCAUCCAAGGUGAUCUAAAUUACAGCACAUCUUUACUAAUUAGUAAUGGGUUUUGGGAUCUGAUUUAGUUGUUUGUAAAAAGGGCUUUCUGUUUUUCAGUAGUUCAGAUGUUGGACUGCCUGUGGGGGAAGCGAGGGGAAGGCAGGAGGUGGAGGUAAUGUGUGGCCUCUUCUGAAGUGUCACAUGGAUGUGACUAGCCUGCCACAAAUUUAGCACCGGUGGCACUGACAAGACACUGCAGUGGAAAAAGCAGAGAUGUCCUUUUAAGCAGACGCAGGGUAAGGAAAUUGGCUGAAGUUAAUGGAUCUAAGUUAUAAUUUCCAGUGGAAAUACUAAUGCAAUUAAUGUAUUUCCACACAGCAGGACAGCAAGCCCAUGCAAGUGUUUAGCUGUUUGUCAUGACUGCUCAGGAGGCUGGUCCAGCCACAUCCUGGGGUCUGUCCAGCUGCACCCAGACACAUGCAGCCUGUGCUGAGAGUGGGAGCAGGGCUGAGACACACCCCAGUGUGGCAGUAGGUUUGAGGGGCUGGAGGAGACCAUCACCAGGACCGGCUUCUGCAUGGUUGUGGAAAGUGAAGGUGCCCGACGAGGAACAUCUGUCUCGCUGCUUGUGACCUGGGUGUGGGGCUGUUCCUUUACCCCAGCUCCAUGGUAGUGCAGUCCCCAGCUGGGGUCUGCACGUCCUGUCUGGACACGGGGAUAAGCAGGAAAGCUCAACAGCCUCUUCACACAGCACCACAGAUCUCCCUGCUGCCCACUUACUGCUGCACCCACCACCUCCUGCAGAGAAAUCUCUCUCUUCUUAGGGGUGUGCCUGUUCUCAGUGAAGUUACAAACCCUCUAGGGCAAGGCGCAAGACUCGUCUGUCUCCUCCCUGAACAUGCCGCAAGUGCGUGAAGCCAGAGAAGGGAUUUCCAUCCUGCCAGUGUGGUAAUGGGAGCUGAGGAAGUGCCCAGCCUGGCUGCAGCAGGGUGAGGUAUGGAGCAAGAUGUGUUUCUCACCAGUGGUGGAGCAGAGCCACGAAGCUGCUGUUGGGGAGACUGGUGUUCUAUCCUGCUGCAGGUCCCCGGAGCGGCACCCCAUCCCGUCCCUGGGGAGAGUCCACAUCCAUGGGACAGCCUGUGCAGCCAGGUGCCAGCGUCCUCUUUCCUUCGGGUCUCAGGCGGGCACACGGUGGUCCUGAGGUCCCCAGCAGCCCUGCUGGGCCCAACCUCAGGAGUGGAUUAUUGUGUGCAGCAAGGGCACAGCUUCAAAUAGGUGUCCCUAACCUGGCCUUAUCUGCACAGGGUUCUGUGCCUGCCAGGGCAGAGGGAAGUCAAAUAUAUCUCACAUCAGUAAAUUGUUGUUCAGAUUAAGGGAAGUGCCAGAAGCUUUAAAGAGGCUGUUGGCAGAUUCCAGGAAAAAAGAAACAAGUGACACCUGCUGCACAUCAAAACAGCAAUUACCUUUGUAUCAAUGAGAUGGUUAAUGCAUGUAACAAGUGGUUGGGGACAUGGAAAGGCAUAGAUCUCAGAAACCAGGACAAAAUCAGUUCUUUCAAAUCAUGCAUCCAUGGUCCCGAGCUGAUACACAAGCAAGAUGAUAAUGCAGCACAGUGGUUUUUGUUGGCCUCUGCCUGUUUUCAGCCACAGCAGCCCUAGCUGCUGAUUAUUCAGCAGACAUUAACCAGUGGAAUGUUUCCAUGAUUUUUUUUUUUUUAAAGAGUGCUGGGACAAAAUGCUUUCAUCUUUUUAUUUUCUCUUUGAGAAAGUCUAAGACAACUCCAGAGCCUCUCGGAUUAUGACAUUUAUGUGACAUGCAGUGCUGGUGUCAGAAAAUGCUGCUUGCUGUGCUGGUGGCCACUUACUUCCAACAAGCUCAGCUGUCACCCUCUGAAAAAUACCAUUUUGUCCUUUCACAGUGGAGCUUGUCAUAACCUUAUUUCCAAACACAUGGGUUGCACUCCACACAUCUUACAGCUCUGUGAGAUAUUUGCAUUAGGGAGGCAACUUGCUUUCCCGCCUAUCCCGUUCCAUCAAAACACACUUUUAGCACCAGGCAGGAAGCCAAGGUCAAGUCUCCUUUUCUUUCUUUUUUUUUUUUUUUUUUUUUUUUUCUUUCUCCUCCUGCCUGCUCUGAAUGCAUUUUAAUACAGACUUCAGCUCCAUUAUUAUAUCUUUUCCCACAAGACCGUUGCCUCAUUCAGACCUCAGCAGGGAACAUGUUUUAAUCUCUGCCAGCUUGGCAUGGCUAGAGAGCCCUAUGCCCAUAGGAGCUCCAAGGGGGAGGACACAGAGGUGAGGCUUUUCAGAUUCCCGUGCACAGAGGAUAGAGAGAGGAGUUUGGUUAGCUCCAAAUCUGGUAGGGCAUUUCCAGGGAGCCUCUCCCACUGCCUCCCUUGUCAGGCCAGUAAUGAAGAAUGCCAAUGACGAUGCGAUUCCUCUCCUCUGUUUUUAAGUGCCUAAAAGUUAGGUGUCUAAACCUAAUUAGUUGGACAGGCUUCCUGCAUAGCCAAUGGAGACAAAUAGGCACCUCUAGUGUAUGAUUCAUGUCACAUAUCUUGAAGUUUAUCUUGAGAAGGGCUGACUCACCCAACAGCCAAGCACCCGCUUCUCUUCUGUGACUGUGGAGGCAGAUCAGCAGCUUGCUGAGGGUUUGACAGCUACAUUUUGGGUGUCCCAAGCUGGGCAAGGUGAGUCCUACUCCCAGCUGUGGCAGUAGCUGUGGAAAGCAUCAUCACUUGGCUGCUCUGGCUUGCCCCCCUCCCACCCUGUUUCCCACAGAAGGUCCAUUUGCAGCCCUGCCCAAGCAGGGCUGGGUUUUAGUCUGUCCAAAUCACAUUAUCAGCCCUUAUGGCAUUAUCAGACCAAGUUAAAUAUUUAUAAAGCACCUGGGGGCAGGGUCCACAUCUUUCUUCAGUUUGUAUAUUCCCUCGAGGAGCAAAGCCCCUGUGCUGGUUUGCAACCCUUUGCAGACUGGUGCAAUACAGCACCAUGAGUCUGUGUGCCAAUCUGCAUGUCUUGACAAAAUGCAGCUGGGAAUGCAGAAAGACCUCAGGGACAUUGGGAAAUAGGCAGGAGUGAAUCAUAAGAGUCAGGAGAAGCAGCUAAUGUGUGGGAAAAAGGCAAAUGUGCUACCUCGGCACAAACAUACAAUAAGGAAGUAUGUAAUAAUAAUUAUUGUUAUUGUAAUACGGCCUGGGUGAGCAUUUGGGAAAAAGAUAUCUAAUAACUGACAAGCGACGUGGCUCGGUUUGUUUUGAUCUGAAAUUCAAACAAUGGUUGUGUUUAUAAGGCAAUAAUACGCAGGGUACUGGCACCACACCAACUAUGCACUCCCCAAGUCGGGUUUAUAUAGGUCAUGCCAAACAAAUAAUAGUGUUCUUCAAUAUAAUUACUGAUUCAUUACAGAAAGAGAAUGUAAUUGAGUCUGUUUGGAUUUCAGGGAGGUGUAGAUAUGGUAAAUUCAUACAUUUGAACUCAGAUUGGGAAAGCUUUGUGUGCUUGCCGAGUUCUGCUCAUCUAGGAUUCAGAGAUAAAAUUCCCACUGCAGCCUGCCCCAGCAGCAUGAGCCUUCCCUCAGGCUUCAGCAGUUGCUCAUGCUCCUGCUGCCCUUUGCAGACUCUUUCAGUGCCCUUUGAAGCACUUCACAGGUAAACUGGGAAACUAAACUAAUGUUAGAGCAAGAGCCAGAUCCAAAUAUGCUGGACAUGGCUCUUACCUCAGGCAAUUGCACGUACCCCUUGAUCCUGGGGGUAUGCUGGCCCCUCCACUUCUGAACUUUCUGGUCCGUGGCCCACUUCUGGAUAUGUCUCCUGACACACAUCAUUCUCAGUGUUCCUGCAGGGGAAAGCAGCAAAAGGCAGAGGAUGAGAUGGGCUGGCAGUGCCCACCAGUUCCCUGGACAAAGACGCCCCAGCUUAAAUGGCACAUUUGGCCACAGGAGAGUUAAACUGUGUUGUUCUCAUCCUGGCAUGAGAGUGGGGUUGGACAGUGGUAGGGCCAUGCUGCCACCCAGCAUGGCAAGCAGGUGCUACCAGCACUCAGCAUUAAAGGACAAGAGCCGGGCUCUGAAGGUGAGGGAGGACCGGGACUUUUGAAUGGCUUUGCCACAGGCCAUUCCCUGGGGUGUGGUGGACUGGCUUUUUUUUGGCUGCAGUACUCUGCUUUUCCCAGGGAGACCUGGGCAGUCCUACACAGUCUGAGGUGUUUCCUGCUGGCUUUAACCCUGUGUGGACCCUGCACAGCACACAGGGGUGGAUGAUAGUGCCCAGAGUAGCCUCCUCAGCACCCAGCACGCUGCCAGUACCAGCGACAGUGCUCUGUGUGACACCUGGGCUCAAGGGGUUUACCCAGGAAAACACAAAGCAUGGUGGCACAGCCUUGGAGUCAGCACCCCUCAUGUCCAUCACCGGCCCUGCUGCUGCUCGCCACAGUACACUGGGCAGAACCCCAGUCUCUGUCCUCCCUCCUGCCCUGCCCCAGGUAGCAGCUGCCUUUUAAAGAAAGGCCAGACAGGCAUAAUAUGAGGCUUCCAGAAAAAUGGGGACCAUGCUGGUCACCCUGGUGGACCAGCACCCAGUGGAAGGAGCAUUGAUAGAGCACUAGACCCACUAGUCAGCUGACUCCUGCGAGCUUCUGAAGAAGUUCAUCAGGAACAUGCAGGGACCAUAGUAAUUUAUGCUUUCAAAAGGUCUUUUGAUAAAGGCCUUUCCAAGAAUGAAACAAGCUUGGCAGCCAUGGUAUGAAAAGUCCCAUAAUGGAUUGAAAAUUGAGUCAGAACUGGCAGAAUGGGGGAAAUAUCCAUUACAAGUAAAAGGCCAGUGUUCCAGUUGGGGAAGAAAAGUUUACUGGGUGGAAGGGGGUGGUGGGACCAUGCCUAGCAGAGAUGAAAGCAGCCCUCUGAAUACUAUUACAAAAAUCAGUGAAGGGGGAAGAAGGAUAAAAAGGCAACAGCAUUUGCUGCCAACAGAGAACCAUGCAUUAUAAAUGCAAGCAAGUCUUGGCAGGACUGGGAGGGACUCCAGAAGAUUCUAACUAAACUUGGAAACCAAACCACCAUGACGGAGAAAGUUCAGUGCACACAAAUGCCAAAGCAAGCUGUUUUAGAAGAAAUUGGGCAAGCCUCUUACUCUGAAUUAGAAGUUGUUUUGUGGGGGUCAGCAGCGGACGGGGGCAAUGACUGUUCAAGCAUCACACCUCAGACACCUGCACCGUGGGUCAGCAUGAAGAACAUGUCAUCCUAUAACCUGGGUACCCACCACAGUCCAUGCCCACUUGCCCACUGUGAAGCAGGACCUAAAGAAACAUUGUGAGAUGGAUCAUACUGAGUCAAGAUCUGAAGUCCAUCAGAGGCACCAUGGAAGAAUAGAAACAGGAUCAAACGCAGAGCUGGAUGGGGGACUUUUUCUGUGAAGGGAGGUUGAGGAGUAUAAUAUUAUUUCAUUUGCAACAGGGAUGAGGAAGACUACAAAACAAUAGUUCCCUUUAGCAACAACUGGCUGAUGCUUUCAGUUUAUUUGUGCUCUGCAAGUUGAAAAGAGAGAUGUAAAGGUGCUUUUAAAAAUAGUUGCAAGGAAGUUUGUGCUUUGCCACUGCCUCUCAGUACUGUUCCCGGCUGGAUGUGAUCUGCUGAUAAGCUCAUACCUGGCCUGAACUCAGCGGCCUCUGCGUGCCAAGCCACCCCGAGCAGUACACCGGCGAGGUUGCCAACACCCACUGGAUGCAAUUGCCUUGUGGGCAACCUCCAGCCCUGGGCAGCAGCUGGUAAAGCAGCCUGUGCACUGAAAGCCUGCUCACAUCAGUGCCUGGCUGUCACGGUGUGGGGACUACACUGCGGGGCUAAAUGUGGUCCCUGGCAGGGCGUGGUGACACCGAAACUCAUGCAAUAAGAAAUGGGAGGGGGGUCUGUGUGUAAAUAAUUUACUAGUAUGACCUGGCUGUCAGUCCCUUGUUUAUUUUCAUUAAGUUACUAAAGAACCAUGUUGAUUCUGAAACAAGUUUGGGGGACCAGAGAACAUAGAACAAAGGCAUCUGUCCCCUGUGUGUGGCAAGGCAGCCGGGCUGCGAGGGGACAGAUGCUUUCUGAAUUUCCAACUUUUCCUGCAUACAGAAACCUUUGUGGAUAAACCAGAGAGGGAGAAACGCCACGUAUUCUACAGGUGUCUGAACCAGAAAGCAGGUACCAGAAAGGGCAAGGCAGCACAUGCUGGAUUCUUGAGAGACAAGUGGGAUCAGGGAAAUCCAAGACCAGAGCUCUGCCUUCCUCUCUGGACCAUAAAAUGAUUAAGCAUCUAACCACCUUGUUCAUGCUGCUGGAGCAGGGGUCCAGAAAGUCUGGGACCUGAUUCACUCCUCCAUGAGUUUGGAGUCUGGCUGUUCUGGCCUCAAGCUCUCAAGCAGAGGGAUGGGAUCUUGAAACUUCACAGACCCUGAUUCUGCUUCCAGGUAUCAAGGGUGAACUAAGAAAGCCAGCCGAGUCCCCUUGAAGUAAAAAGACUGAUGAUGAAGAAGACCUGAACUCCUUCUCCAAGGGCAGUAGAUGUUGUCUUGGGGUAGUCCUGACUUUGGAAGAGGACUGGAAUGUGGAGAGGCUGCCUUGAGGAGUUGACUUGAGCUCACAAAGGUGGGCAGCCGGACCCUUGGUGAAGCUGUCGGUCUGUGUCGCUCAGAAGAUGUUGUGGGGAUCGGGGGAGCGGCCCUGGAACCACCCCUGGGCUGGAGAAUCCAGUGCACAGCCCUUCAGAGCAUUUCUCACCGUGGCCGUGAUGACAAAGAGACUUCCAAGGGCUCGAGGAAAUGCCAGGGUGUCAAAAUGAUGGGACCUAGAUUGUCUGCACACACAGACGUGCCUUCCAACAAACAGGUCCUUCAGGAGAUCUGCACAUGGCUCACCUCCAUGGCUGAUUUUUGAGCCCCCCUCCGCCGCUCCUCCACCUUUUCCUUCCGCUCCCCGGCAGGUGAACGUGCUGAAAACCUCAUGGGGGCCGAGGACAGAGCUCCGUGUGUGUGUGGGUGUGUCUGUGUGCGCCGGGGGUUCCGCAAAGGCAAAGCUCUGGGUCAGAAGCGCGAUUUUGGUGCGAUUUUGGAGUUUCUCGAAGCGCGGUUUCCGUGAGGCGGUGCUACAGCGCCACCUGGCGGGCCGGGGCUGCGCGGGGCUCCUUCGGUUCCCGGGAUCCGCCCCAUGGGAAGCGGUGAUGGCACUGCCCGCUGGGAUCGCACUGCUGACGAGCCGGGCAAACCCCGCUGUCACCUAAACAGCGCGAUCACGGCGAAGAAGCGUGGGCAGCCCCAGAGCCCGGCCCGAGGCAGCCCCUGAGUGCUGCGUCACACCACAGCCUCACCGUAAUCACACGCGUGACCCGCCCGCGGCACGCUCCUCUUCCACGCGCUGCGAUGGCUGUUGUUCAGGCAGCAGGGACGCUUGUGGGAGGGUAGGAAAGUGCACAGCGCAGGUUUAUGAGGUCUUAGCAGAGUUAAGGAAAUUCACUCACAGGUUUUGAGGUGUUCGCGGUGAGAUUUGGGAUCUCAAAAUAUACUGUCAUUGAUUCUCACUGGGAAGGAGAUACAGCGUAGUGCAAUAAUUUUGGUGCUCGCAGAUAAGAGAGACAGCUACUAGACGAAAGGAGAUUCAAGAGAGUGCGUACAAGAAGCAGAUGUGGGGUUUAGACCAUCCAAGUGCCAGAACUGGGGAAAGAUAAAGUAAACGGAAACAAACAGAGGGCAAGUGUGGGCAGAAGUCUUGCGGCAAGCAAUUUGGGCAAACCUGGAAGACCAGUCUACAUGAUCAGUAAUGGUUCUUGCACAGUGCUAGAAACAGGCUGUGACAAUUUGAAUGAGAAGGAAACUUUUUAAACCUGUAAGAAAACGUAGGGAUUUUUGAGCACAUCACUUUUCAGUUAAGGCAUUCUCAGGAACUGGCAGUGAUGCAGGGAACACGGCAAUGGCUGUACCUGCAAGAGACAGCAGAGCCGCUCACCUGUACUUCUUGUUAAACAGCCAGUGCGACCCAAAGCUUUACUGGAAAAAAUACAUAGAAAGGACAAAACCAGUGCAACCAAUACCAGCAGUUCAGAGUGAAGCACUAGAUGUGGUAUUUAAGUCCAGCUCUGGUAAAUUCCAUUUUUGGCUGGAGGCAUGAAAGGGAUGGGCUGUCAAGAGAGGCCAGAUACUGAUUGUGUGAUGGUCAGUACCAGCAGAAGGAGAGAGUGCCCAUGGGCUAAGCACAGUCUGCUCUGGAGAGAGAGCUCUGUCUGAUAGCUGGAACGCUGCUGGCCUGGACUCCUGAUAGCCUGAGGCACGUGGAAAAUCCCAACCAGAAGUCACAGUGGGGCCUACAUCCAUAGUCUCAUUCACCGAGUUUGGGGACUAAUUCCUUCAGCUGUAGAUGUGAAUGCAGACUUCAUCCAGUUUCCUUUCUUUUACUUGUAUGUUUCCCUAACAUGUCCUUGUCAUUGCUGUGCCAGCAUAUGCUGCACCAGUGCUACUCUGUCCCCUGACUAACAUCUGGCUCAAAUUUUAACAACAGUUUAGGGUACCUCUUCUUUUCAAGACUCUAGACUGAGAGCCUUUUCAGAUUUUAACUUCAGCUAUACCCAUGGGUGCUCACUUCCCUAAGAGAGUAUCCGGGAGCAUCCUACCUCUAUGAACUACAAAGUAAUAUCCACAGGACUCCGAUCGAGGAGAAAUCAAUCGCCUUGGAACACCAGAGAGCUGUUGGGCAAAACAAAUACAGCAUGUGUGGAGGACCCUGCUGAACCUGAUCUCAGGCUCUCCAGUGAUGUAUCACACCUACAUACACACAUAUGGAGAGAAAUUCUAAGUCUGAACUGAAACAUCUGCUCUGGAUCUGGAUCUUUCCAGAUCCACACAGCACAAGAGAUUUCUAGAGUGGAAAAGAAAGAACUGGGAAAGACCACAUUCACCCUUGGUUACAGGAAAAUGCCACCACACUACACAAUAUCAUUAAUUACCAGUGAAACUCUCUAUUUUAAAAUAAAGUCCUUUGUUAACUUUGAAAAACAUGUUUUGCCAUACAUUAUUCCCUCCCUCAUGGUCUUAGGCCCAGCAAAUCAAUAGUAGUGAAUAUCCUUUGAACAUCUUGAGACUACCCAGGCAGAGUUGCCAUUAGCUGGUAUUUCACUACAGCAUAUAAUUGGCCUUGCUCCUAAACCCUUGCACUUUCCUCUUGGUGCUGACUCUAAGGCUCGGAAUGGCUCCCUGAUGUUUCUGCUGCAUCCCCUCCUUUAGGCUGGCAUGCAUGGAGCCUUCUGCCAGGUAUAACUGUUGGCUAAUCAACCUCAUUGUCCUAGCAAAUCACCCGGGGUGAAAGGCUAACAACUCUCCAGCAGGUUUGCAGAGAGAGGAGGUGAAGGGGGAACUGAUUGCAGGGCUGGAAAAAUGGGAAACGUGCCCUCAGGUACUGGAUGCACAAAGCACUUUGUCAGCAAACAAUGGCUAUGGAGUGGAAAUGAGGGAAACAGAUGGGAAAUUACAUGCUUCCAAAACCUCUGUAAGAUUAAUUCCAUUUAGGAACUCUACAAGUCAGCUCUCAGAGCGGGGUGUGGCAGAACCUGGCAGAGCAGAGAAAUUCCACCCCUGGCACUCAAGGCUCUUGACCCUUUGCCAGAGCAGGGGCAGAGCGAUGCGGGUACCGAUCCUGGGGUUGUUCCUACUCAGAAUCACGUUGCUCCUUCAGCGCGGUUUUGAAAGAGAAAUGUCUUGUCCUCGAACACAAGUCACACCCUUCUCAGCCCACUCGUGGCUCCAGGAGCAGUGGCACAAGGACAGCCAGGAGAUGGCAUGAGCCAGGGCCAAACCUGCUCAGUGAGGAAUCCUGGCCUUCCUGGCGGGAAUAUUCCUCCUCCUCAUCCACUUGUUUGGCAACCACAACACUCGCUUUCCUUUUCUCAUCAAUAAAGCAGAGAUGUGAUGUGGCCAAGUACAAUUAAGCUUCUCUUCCUGAACCACUGGGAGAUCCUUGGAUGAAAAAGCUGUGUGUUAAACUGACAAAAAUGUAAUUAGUAAUUAAGAAGUGCCAUAAACAUCACAGAAAAUUUGCUCUUUGUUUUUGGGGAAUGAUGCAGCCAGUUGCUGAAAUGCAACUAAUUGCACCUGCUCGACUUCCAGGUGUGCCCCAUGCUGCAAGCAGUUGCACGCUGUAGGAUAAGGCUUCCUUCCCCUAGGAGGAAAAUGUCCUGUGGUAACACAACUGCUAGCACAUUCAGAUCACGUCAUGCCAAACAUGCAAAGAAUGAAAGAAUAGUUUGGGCGGCAAGGGACCCUAAAAAUCUAACUCCAAGCCCCUGCCAUGGGCAGAAUCACCAGCAAUAUGGUUUUAUAAAGGGUGUUAGCCUUGAAGCCUUAUAUGUACCCUAGUUGUGAAGGCAAUGUAAGAAUCUCUAGUAUUUCAAGUGACAAAUGAAUUUACCUAUAGGAAGAUUCCAACACCUGUGGCCAUUUGGUUGUUGGCUCCUCUGCUGAAGUGUCAGAGCAGAAGGUACCACACAAACCUGUUUGCAAGGACUGCAGAGAGAAUCCUUUUGCCAUUUAUUCAAACAGCCACUGCUGGCCAUGACAGUAAAAUCCUAUCCUGUCCUCCAGUUA